rnacentral:rRNA from 1 species
CUACGGGGGGCUCCAGUGGGGAAUAUUGGGCAAUGGGCGCAAGCCUGACCCAGCAACGCCGCGUGAGGGAAGAAGGUUUUCGGAUUGUAAACCUCUGUCCUUGGGGACGAAGAAGUGACGGUACCCAAGGAGGAAGCUCCGGCUAACUACGUGCCAGCAGCCGCGGUAAUACGUAGGGAGCAAGCGUUGUCCGGAAUUACUGGGCGUAAAGGGUGCGUAGGUGGCAUAUUAAGUCAGGUGUGAAAUACUCGGGCUCAACCCGGGGGCUGCAUUUGAAACUGAUAUGCUUGAGUGUGAGAGAGGAAAGUGGAAUUCCUAGUGUAGCGGUGGAAUGCGUAGAUAUUAGGAGGAACACCAGUGGCGAAGGCGACUUUCUGGCUCAUAACUGACGCUGAGGCACUAAAGCGUGGGGAGCAAACAGGAUUAGAUACCCCUGUAGUC